rnacentral:miRNA from 1 species
GGGGAAGUCACUCUUGUCUACAUG